GAUGAACGCUGGCGGCGUGCCUAAUACAUGCAAGUCGAACGAAACUUCUUUAUCACCGAGUGCUUGCACUCACCGAUAAAGAGUUGAGUGGCGAACGGGUGAGUAACACGUGGGCAACCUGCCCAAAAGAGGGGGAUAACACUUGGAAACAGGUGCUAAUACCGCAUAACCAUAGUUACCGCAUGGUAACUAUGUAAAAGGUGGCUAUACUACCGCUUUUGGAUGGGCCCGCGGCGCAUUAGCUAGUUGGUAGGGUAAAGGCUUACCAAGGCAAUGAUGCGUAGCCGAAUUGAGAGGUUGAUCGGCCACACUGGGACUGAGACACGGCCCAAACUCCUACGGGAGGCAGCAGUAGGGAAUCUUCCACAAUGGGCGAAAGCCUGAUGGAGCAACGCCGCGUGGGUGAAGAAGGUCUUCGGAUCGUAAAACCCUGUUGUUAGAGAAGAAAGUGCGUGAGAGUAACUGUUCACGUUUCGACGGUAUCUAACCAGAAAGCCACGGCUAACUACGUG
rnacentral:rRNA from 1 species